rnacentral:misc_RNA from 1 species
GAUGAAGAACGUAGCGAAAUGCGAUAAGUAAUGUGAAUUGCAGAAUUCAGUGAAUCAUCGAAUCUUUGAACGCACAUUGCGCCCAUUAGUAUUCUAGUGGGCAUGCCUGUUCGAGCGUCAUUAAGUCCACUUAAGCCCUGCUUAGUGUUGGGAGACUGCUCCAGCGGUGCUACCCUGUAGCUACCCUGCAGCUCCUCAAAGACAGCGGCGGAGUUGUGGUAUCCUCUGAGCUUAGUAACUUGUUCUAGCUUUCGAGUACACCACUUCCCCUGCCGUAAAACCCGUAAUUUUUAAUGGUUGACCUCGGAUCAGGUAGGAAUACCCGCUGAACUUAAGCAUAUCAAUAAGCGGAGGA